CCUACGGGCGGCUGCAGUGGGGAAUAUUGGACAAUGGGCGAAAGCCUGAUCCAGCCAUGCCGCGUGUGUGAAGAAGGCCUUCGGGUUGUAAAGCACUUUCAGUGGGGAAGAAAGCCUUGGGGCUAAUACCCUCGAGGAAGGACAUCACCCACAGAAGAAGCACCGGCUAACUCCGUGCCAGCAGCCGCGGUAAUACGGAGGGUGCGAGCGUUAAUCGGAAUUACUGGGCGUAAAGCGCGCGUAGGCGGUCUGAUAAGCCGGUUGUGAAAGCCCCGGGCUCAACCUGGGAACGGCAUCCGGAACUGUCAGGCUAGAGUGCAGGAGAGGAAGGUAGAAUUCCCGGUGUAGCGGUGAAAUGCGUAGAGAUCGGGAGGAAUACCAGUGGCGAAGGCGGCCUUCUGGACUGACACUGACGCUGAGGUGCGAAAGCGUGGGUGGCAAACAGGAUUAGAUACCCUAGUAGUC
rnacentral:rRNA from 1 species